rnacentral:rRNA from 1 species
CGUAGGUGAACCUGCGGAGGGAUCAUUGCUGGAACGCGCCCCAGGCGCACCCAGAAACCCUUUGUGAACUUAUACCUUUUGUUGCCUCGGCGCAUGCUGGCCUCUAGUAGGCCCCUCACCCCGGUGAGGAGACGGCACGCCGGCGGCCAAGUUAACUCUUGUUUUUACACUGAAACUCUGAGAAAAAACACAAAUGAAUCAAAACUUUCAACAACGGAUCUCUUGGUUCUGGCAUCGAUGAAGAACGCAGCGAAAUGCGAUAAGUAAUGUGAAUUGCAGAAUUCAGUGAAUCAUCGAAUCUUUGAACGCACAUUGCGCCCUCUGGUAUUCCGGAGGGCAUGCCUGUUCGAGCGUCAUUUCAACCCUCAAGCAUUGCUUGGUGUUGGGGCACUGCUUUUAACGAAGCAGGCCCUGAAAUCUAGUGGCGAGCUCGCCAGGACCCCGAGCGCAGUAGUUAAACCCUCGCUCUGGAAGGCCCUGGCGGUGCCCUGCCGUUAAACCCCCAACUUCUGAAAAUUUGACCUCGGAUCAGGUAGGAAUACCCGCUGAACUUAAGCAUAUCAAUAAGCG